rnacentral:rRNA from 1 species
UCAGACGAUGCGUCAUGCAUAUCAAUAAGCGGAGGAAAAGAAACUAACUAGGAUUCCCUCAGUAACGGCGAGUGAAGCGGGAAGAGCUCAAAUUUGAAAUCUUCAAGGUUCUACCUUGACGAAUUGUAGUUUAAAGAAGUGUUUUCUGUUGGAGUUUUGGUAAAAGUUCUUUGGAAUAGGACAUCAUAGAGGGUGAGAAUCCCGUAUUUGACCAUUAUUUCCAGCUUUGUGAUACACUUUCAAAGAGUCGGAUUGUUUGGGAAUGCAGUCCAAAAUGGGUGGUAAAUUUCAUCUAAAGCUAAAUAUUGGCGAGAGACCGAUAGCGAACAAGUACCGUGAGGGAAAGAUGAAAAGAACUUUGAAAGGAGAGUUAAACAGUACGUGAAAUUGUCAAAAGGGAAGCGUUUGACACCAGUGUUGUUUUCUCGAAAAUCAAUUAAAAAAGGCAGGAUUUUGUGUUGUAUUGACUUUAUCAGCUUUCUGCACUCUUUUCUUGUCUUUUUUUAAUGCACUUUUCGUUUAACAAGUCAACAUCAAUUUCUUUUGUUGUAAAAGGGUCAUUGGAAGGUGGCUUUCUUUUCGGAGAAAGUGUUUAUAGCCUUUGGCCUCUGCAAUCGGAGAGAUUGAGGUCUGCAGCGUAGAUCCUCCGGGGUUAGAUACAUUUGUGCUAAGUUAUAGCCUUUCAUAGACAACUUGUUGACUAUGAUCAGUCAUGUAGCUUACUCGCUUAUGCUAUUUUACCUACGCUUAGGAUGUUGAUCUACAGAGCGAGAGU